AUUGAACGCUGGCGGAACGCUUUACACAUGCAAGUCGAACGGUAGAGGGGGCAACCCCUCGAGAGUGGCGAACGGGUGAGUAAUAUAUCGGAACGUGCCCAGUCGUGGGGGAUAACGUAGCGAAAGUUACGCUAAUACCGCAUACGAUCUAAGGAUGAAAGCGGGGGAUCGCAAGACCUCGCGCGAUUGGAACGGCCGAUAUCAGAUUAGGUAGUUGGUGGGGUAAAGGCUCACCAAGCCAACGAUCUGUAGCUGGUCUGAGAGGACGACCAGCCACACUGGAACUGAGACACGGUCCAGACUCCUACGGGAGGCAGCAGUGGGGAAUUUUGGACAAUGGACGCAAGUCUGAUCCAGCCAUUCCGCGUGCAGGAUGAAGGCCCUCGGGUUGUAAACUGCUUUUGUACGGAACGAAAAGGUCUCUCUUAAUACGGGGGACUCAUGACGGUACCGUAAGAAUAAGCACCGGCUAACUACGUGCCAGCCGCCGCGGUAA
rnacentral:rRNA from 1 species